CAUUCCGAACCCGGAAGUUAAGCCCUCCAGCGCCGAUGGUACUGCCGGGGCAACCCGGUGGGAGAGUAGGUCGCCGCGGGAA
rnacentral:rRNA from 1 species